AGCGAACGCUGGCGGCAGGCUUAACACAUGCAAGUCGAACGCCCCGCAAGGGGAGUGGCAGACGGGUGAGUAACACGUGGGAACGUACCCUUUGGUUCGAAAUAACUUGGGGAAACUCAAGCUAAUACCGGAUAAGCCCUUAUGGGGAAAGGUUUACUGCCGAAGGAUCGGCCCGCGUCUGAUUAGCUAGUUGGUGAGGUAAUGGCUCACCAAGGCGACGAUCAGUAGCUGGUCUGAGAGGAUGAUCAGCCACACUGGGACUGAGACACGGCCCAGUCUCCUACGGGGGGCAGCAGUGGGGAAUAUUGGACAAUGGGGGCAACCCUGAUCCAGCCAUGCCGCGUGAGUGAUGAAGGCCUUAGGGUUGUAAAGCUCUUUUACCCGGGACGAUAAUGACUGUACCGGGAGAAUAAGCCCCGGCUAACUUCGUGCCAGCCGCCGCCGUAA
rnacentral:rRNA from 1 species